CGGGGUUUAUGGAGUAGCAAUACGAAAUAAAUCUAGUGGCGAACUGGUGCGUAACACGUGAGCAAUCUGCCGAGAAGUGGGGGAUAACUCGCCGAAAGGCGAAUUAAUACCGCAUAUGGCCAGGAGGGACAUCCUUCCGAAGCCAAAGCCUAUAGGGUAACUUAUGGGCGCUUCUUGAUGAGCUCGCGGCCUAUCAGCUAGUUGGUGAGGUAAAGGCUCACCAAGGCUAUGACGGGUAGCUGGUCUGAGAGGACGACCAGCCACACUGGAACCGAGACACGGUCCAGACACCUACGGGUGGCAGCAGUCGAGAAUUUUUCACAAUGGGGGCAACCCUGAUGGAGCGACGCCGCGUGGAGGAUGAAGGUAUUCGUAUCGUAAACUCCUGUCAAACGGGAACAAGAAAGUGAUAGUACCGUUAGAGGAAGAGACGGCUAACUCUGUGCCAGCAGCCGCGGUAAUACAGAGGUCUCAAGCGUUGUUCGGAUUCAUUGGGCGUAAAGGGUGCGCAGGCUGUGGGGUAAGUCGGAUGUGAAAUUUAGAGGCUCAACCUCUAAACUGCAUUCGAUACUGCUUCGCUAGAGGUAUGUAGAGGAGAUUGGAAUUCACGGUGUAGCAGUGAAAUGCGUAGAUAUCGUGAGGAAGACCAGUGGCGAAGGCGAAUCUCUGGGCAUUACCUGACGCUCAUGCACGAAGGCCAGGGGAGCAAACGGGAUUAGAUACCCCGGUAGUCCUGGCAGU
rnacentral:rRNA from 1 species